UAUAGGUGGGUGAAAGGAGCCGCGGUGAUAAAGAGGGUGCAAGCGUUAAUCGGAAUUUCGGUGCGUAAAACGUGCGUAGAGGGGUAGAUAAGUCGGGUGUGAAAGCGCCGUGCUCAACCUGGUAAUUGCAUUCGCGACUGCGUAGCUAGGGUGCGGAAGAGGGAAGCGGAAUUUCCGGUGUAGCGGGGAAAUGCGUAGAUAUCGGAAGGAACACCAGUGGCGAAAGCGGCUUCCUGGUCCAGCACCGACGUUCAGGCACGAUAGCGUGGGGAGCAAACAGGAUUAGAUACCCCAGUAGUC
rnacentral:rRNA from 1 species